GUCGGUUCACAGUGGGGGAAGAGAAGAAAAACAUAGACUACACAACAAAAAACAACAACCAGAGGGCAGGCUAUCAUAUACAGUCAUAAAAAAGGAGAAAUCAGGAACAGAGAGAAUUCAGGAAGAAGCUACAACAUAGGAAGAAGAGCAUACACUCAGGUAAGCAUUUCACUCUACUUGUCUAAACAAUUAUAAACAAAUACAUCCCCACCCUGUUUGUAUAUUUAUCAAAACAUAUACAUACAUAUUGUGAAAUUAGAAUAAGCAUACGCACGUCACAACAUAAGAAAUAAAAAAUGCAUAACAGUUAAAGAACGCAUCAUAUGUGCUAACGCAUAUCACCAGAAUCUGAAAGACAUACACAUCCAUAUCAUACGUAUAUAGAGACAGAGCCUCUGUAAACAGAGAACCAACACUCAGAAGGUUACCCAAUCUUGGUGAGGUUGAUCGUGAGUACCUACACCUUAAUGUCAUCAUCACCGAGUGAACACCGCACACUCCUUGGCCUUAAUAAACCUCUGCGAGGAUAAGAAGUUAUGAAAAUUAUAAAAUCCAGAAUAGAAAAUCAAAAAGAGAAUUAAAAGGAGAUGAGUAAUAAAGAACUAAAGAGAUCGGGAGGGGUGAUUACCUUUUUUUUCAUAAGUCACCGAUGAUUCUCAAUCAUCGCUACCACCACUGAAAUCGAGAAGAGAAGGUAAAAAAUAGAAGGAGGGCGACCCGCAAUGCUUCAAACCGAGAUGAAUAGAGAGGAAGAGUGAAAAGGGGGAUUCAGGGAUUUCGUCUUUCUCAUUCUCUGAUGAUUUCGUGAGAAAAGGUGAGGAUGAGGACUUUCAUCUCUUGAUGCAUGUGAUGACAACCGUGAUCUCCCUUCUUGACCGAGAACAAAGCCACCGCCGGAGAUGGAGAAGAGGUGGAGAAGAGAGGGAAAAAUAGGAUUUAGGGAUUUAAUCCCUUGGUACCGUGAUGGAGCAGGGUAACAUUCCCUUUUUGUUUUUUAUGUCCCCAAUGCCAAAUUCUGU
rnacentral:lncRNA from 1 species